rnacentral:lncRNA from 1 species
ACUUGCAUGCGCAGCGCACCGAUCCUGUAACUUCUUAUUCAGGAGGAUGUAAAGCUCGCUGCGUGACUGUAUUGCGGCUGUGGGUUAUGUGCGUUUCAGCUGCUUACUGCUGGGAAAAUCCGCCGUGGGAAGUGUUGGGCUAGUCUGCUUAUACCGGCCUAGCUUUUUGUUAAGGCUGACGUUGUCUGCGUCGGGGAACUGUAGCUUUAGGAU